UGGGGAAUUUUGGACAAUGGGCGCAAGCCUGAUCCAGCAAUGCCGCGUGCAGGAUGAAGGCCUUCGGGUUGUAAACUGCUUUUGUACGGAGCGAAAAGGUCUGCCCUAAUACGGUGGGCUCAUGACGGUACCGUAAGAAUAAGCACCGGCUAACUACGUGCCAGCAGCCGCGGUAAUACGUAGGGUGCGAGCGUUAAUCGGAAUUACUGAGCGUAAAGCGUGCGCAGGCGGUUAUAUAAGACAGAUGUGAAAUCCCCGGGCUCAACCUGGGACCUGCAUUUGUGACUGUAUAGCUAGAGUACGGUAGAGGGGGAUGGAAUUCCACGUGUAGCAGUGAAAUGCGUAGAUAUGCGGAGGAACACCGAUGGCGAAGGCAAUCCCCUGGACCUGUACUGACGCUCAUGCACGAAAGCGUGGGGAGCAAACA
rnacentral:rRNA from 1 species